GACGAACCGUGCGAACGUUAUUCGGAAUCACUGGGCUUAAAGGGUGCGUAGGCGGCUGAGAGGGUGGGGUGUGAAAUCCCACGGCUCAACCAUGGAAGUGCUUUCGAAACUGCUGAGCUUGAGUACGAAAGAGGAUCGCGGAAUUCCCGGUGUAGAGGUGAAAUUCGUAGAUAUCGGGAGGAACACCAGUGGCGAAGGCGGCGAUCUGGGUCGAUACUGACGCUGAGGUGCGAAAGCGUGGGGAGCAAACAGG
rnacentral:rRNA from 1 species